UACGGAGGGGGCUAGCGUUGUUCGGAAUUACUGGGCGUAAAGGGCGCGCAGGCGGCUCGACAAGUCAGAUGUGAAAGCCCCGGGCUCAACCUGGGAACGGCAUUUGGGACUGUCGGGCUAGAGUUCGGGAGAGGUGGGUGGAAUUCCCAGUGUAGAGGUGAAAUUCGUAGAUAUUGGGAAGAACACCGGUGGCGAAGGCGGCGACCUGGUCCGAUACUGACGCUGAGGCGCGAAAGCGUGGGGAGCAAACAGG
rnacentral:rRNA from 1 species